rnacentral:lncRNA from 1 species
AUAGUACGAGGAGAACUGAUCCCCAUAAAAGCAUUGUAUGACAAAGUCUUUAACUCACUCCUCUCAGCCAACAUUUCCACAGCCUCAACAUCAUCCAUAUCAUCCACUAACUCCAUUUCCAAUCCAUUAAUAACAGUUAAGAUACACAAUUCUCGUUUGGGACAGAUACUUGCAUGAAUCUUUGACCACUUAUCUCCACAUUUGAAACACACACCUUCCCUUCUCAUACCAUCCAACUCAGCAUCCGAAUACUUCAACCGCGCCCGU